GAUGUACGCGGCAACUUGCUGUCUGGGGUUGGGGUGAAGGUGAGAGAAGGGAUGACAGCGCAUGAAAGACCUGGUUCAGCUGCAGGAGAAGAACGUACAAGUAUUUCUUCCCUAAAGGAGACCUUAAUAUACUGCUCAUGGAAGAAGCUGGCA